rnacentral:rRNA from 1 species
UACGGGGGGGGCAAGCGUUGUUCGGAAUUACUGGGCGUAAAGGGCCAGUAGGCGGCCAACUAAGUCGGAUGUGAAAUCCCCAGGCUCAACUUGGGAACUGCAUCCGAUACUGGAUGGCUUGAAUUCGGGAGAGGGAUGCAGAAUUCCAGGUGUAGCGGUGAAAUGCGUAGAUAUCUGGAGGAAUACCGGUGGCGAAGGCGGCAUCCUGGACCGACAUUGACGCUGAACGGCGAAAGCUAUGGGAGCAAACGGG